AGGGUGAUAAUUUAGGGUUCUGAUACCAUCAAUUGUGUGAGACCUCUCAGUUGUUGUUAUGUGAGACCUCCAUUCCAGUUUUUACCUUUGACAUUGUUGACCUUAUUUGAACUCUAUUUUUAUUGGUUCUCGUGAUCAGCUGUCUCGGGGCAGAGCGCCGUUUUCAGUUUGAUAGAGCAGACAUGUUGGUUAUUCUGUAGAGUUGUUUAAAAAGGAACUUAAAUAAUGGAAUUAUUUAAUAGUUUAAUACAGUAAAGCACUCACGGGAGACAGGCAAAGAUGUGUUGUGUAAGGUAGCUAGUGUGAUCAAGUCCAUAAUUUGGUCACCGUGUUUCAGUCACCGUUUGAUUAGGAAAAU